AGGGGGAAGGGACGCCGGAGCCGCGGCUGCGUGUGCGUGCGUGCGGCGGUAGGCACGACGUGGGCAUUUGGCGCAACCACGGUGGGUGGUCUAGUGUAUGGAAUGCAAGAUGUACAUUCUUUUUGGACCAUGGAGCACGUUAUUACUGUUUAUACAACUAGAGUGUGCAAGCACCAAGCAGGGACUGAGCUGACACCAGAUGACCAGAUUCGUAUGAUAGUAACAGUUGGCAUAACAAACUGGACCUUGCAGCCUACUACUAGCUAGUUGUAUGUACCUACUCCUUCUAAACGGUAUGACUAGCUAGAGUGUAGCAAUACGCCAAGCUCGGUGCAGGAAUUGGGUUGUUACUUGUAUGAAUAAUGAAUUGUGGUGCAGCUUUUCUUUCACUGUCAAGGUUGCAUUGCAUGCAGUUUUUGGAUACUGUAUAUGAUAACUCAAACCAUACUUCUGUU